UUUUUUUUUUUUUUGAGAUGGACUCAUGUUCUGCUGCCCAGGCUGGAGUGCUGUGGUGUGAUCUUAGCUCACUGUAUCCUCCACCUCCGGGGUUCAAGCAAUUUUCGUGCCUCAGCCUCCUGGGUGGCUGAGACUACAGAUGCCCACCACCACUCCUGGCUAACUUUUUUGUAUUUUUAGUAGAGACAGGGUUUUACCAUGUUGGCCAGGCUGGUCUCAAACUCCUGACCUCAAGUGAUCUGCCCGCCUCGGCCUCCCAAAGUACUGGGAUUAUAGCUGUGAGCCACUGCACCCUCCCGGAAAUGCUUUUUAACGGUCACCUCCUAGGGGAGAUGAAGAGAGUUACCGCAUAAUCAGUUUUAACUGUAUUUGUAAUGUUUGUUUCUUUACCUGGGAGGAUAUGUUGUAGAUACGUGAGAUAGAAUACCUAAGUGACACAAUGGUGUGCAGGCUAUGGCUGCAAAGUAGAAAGUUUCUAAAUAGCAUGCUUGGAUUUUUAUUUGAAUUGGAUGAAGUUUUUGUGUCCUAGAGAAAUUCACAAAAUGUUCCUAGUUUCAGAUAAAAGGUUAUGAUUUAACAUCUUUGCUUUUGUUCUUUCUUGUCUUUGAAUAGAACAGUGGGGGACGGUAAGGUCUGUUUGCAAAGUACCUAUGACCAUCUUACAUUAUUUUUAUGGGUGGGGGGCAUUGACUGUGGAAUGUGGGCAGUAACUUGCACAGUCAGUAACCGUUUGAGUAACUUCUUGUUGGCAUCCCCAUUCUGGCACUCCUCCUCUAGGUCUCCACCUCACACGCUGGUUUGUGGGCGGAGGGGCAGGUUGGUGCGUGGGGUGUCCGGGCACUGGCUGUGCAUGCCUUCUUCCUCUUCUGUCUCUUGGCCACCUUUUCCAAAAAGUCACCAGUGACCAAUUCUCCCAGUGUUUCUUUGGGACUCAAUGCCUUGGGCUUGGCAUUGGGUAAAGCCAACUGGCCAGUUUCAUUCUGACGAGCUCUAUAGUAGUCCGGUGUGGACCUCUGCCCUCCCUGCUCUGCGGAAGCUUCCUCAGCCUUUGCUUCUCACUAUUUACUAUUUGCGGGUCCUGGGGGUACCCAGCGUCUCAGGGUUUUGGCUGCCCACCUGUACGUCGGUCCUUUCAAACUGUGGUCAGAGUCAACCUCAGGUGCUGCUUUUCUCUAGUCACUGCAUUUUUUUUUUUUAGUAGAGACAAAGUCUUGCUGUGUUGUCCAGCCUGGAUUCAAACUCCUGAGCUCAAGGAAUCCUCCCACUCAGCCUCCAGAGUAGCUGGAUCAAGUCACUCUUGUUCAUAACCUCAGUUGCUUCAUGAAUCUCGAUUUCUGCUUGAUUUCAGUGCUUGCUGUUGUAUCCUUGUGUGCUGCAGUAUUUAUUGUUAACAUUUGUGACUCAAAUGUAUCCACUCCCUGCUUUGGUUGCUCUGGCCUGCAAGUAGGCCGUACUAAUUCUGUAGUUGGUCCUAGCUUGCCUUUGUCUUUACCUUGCAUGCGUUUAUGUCUUAAUGCACCUAUUAGGAUUCCUUGCUUUUAUCACAGGUUUCCCAUUUUUCUGAAAAAAUUACAGUAAUUAUUAACGCAGAACCCAGGUAAAUUAAAAAGGUUUGUAUGCUUUAUGAAUUUUUAGUAAGUACUCAUUGAUUGAUAACAGCAACAGAGGAAAACAAAACGGUCAGUUCCGAUCUUGAUUUCCAGGAGCACUUUGUGUUUCCACUUGGCAGCGUGAUGCUUCCUCAUGUCGGUGAUUUUCUGUUGAGACAUCUUCAAGCAUCAUCUUACGUCUGCUUGUUAACAUUUGUUCAGAUUUGAUUUCAGCUAAUCCUUAAAAGUUUUUUGAGACAUCAAACUUAGAAUAAAAGGAAUUUCCUUUGCCGAGAUUCAUCAGGUAUUUACACUUAGCUUACAUGGCCACACCAUUCCUC
rnacentral:lncRNA from 10 species